rnacentral:misc_RNA from 1 species
CACCAACUCACUUACAAAACAGCAGCCGUCUUCACGCCAUGUCGAACUCUUGCAUCGAACUUGGGCUGCAGAUGAUGUUGAACGGCUUGUCGAUGCUGUCCUGCAAUAUCGUGAUCUGUCCCUCCUUGACAAGUAUGUCUUCGUCCAAGGCUUCGAUCUUCUUCUUCAGCGAUACAACCUCGUUCUGCAUGAUGCUCAUGUUUCUUCUCAGCUACUUCACCUCCUGCCACUACAGGUCCCUGUCUUCCAUCACCGUUUUCAGUGUUCCACGAAGAGCAGCCAGCUCCUUCGUAGAUUACUGGAAAUCCUGUUGGAUCUCAUCGAUUAACUCAUCCUUC